AGUGAACGCUGGCGGUAGGCCUAACACAUGCAAGUCGAACGGCAGCACAGUAAGAGCUUGCUCUUACGGGUGGCGAGUGGCGGACGGGUGAGGAAUACAUCGGAAUCUACUUUUUCGUGGGGGAUAACGUAGGGAAACUUACGCUAAUACCGCAUACGACCUACGGGUGAAAGCAGGGGAUCUUCGGACCUUGCGCGAUUGAAUGAGCCGAUGUCGGAUUAGCUAGUUGGCGGGGUAAAGGCCCACCAAGGCGACGAUCCGUAGCUGGUCUGAGAGGAUGAAACACAACAGUGGAAGUGAGACACGGACAAGAGCCCACGGGAAGGAGCCGGUGGGAAAUAUUGAACAAGGGGCGCAAGCCUAAUCCACCCAUCCCGGGGGGAGAAAGAAGGCUUCGGGUUUUAAAGCCCUUUUUUUUGGAAAAAAAAACAAGCAGGUUAUUCCCCCGUUGUUCGGGCGGAACCCAAAGAAUAAGCCCCGGCAAGCUUGGUC
rnacentral:rRNA from 1 species